UACGUAGGGUGCGAGCGUUGUCCGGAAUUACUGGGCGUAAAGGGCGCGUAGGCGGCCUGUUAAGUCGAACGUGAAAUCCCCGGACUCAACCCGGGAACUGCGUCCGAUACUGGCAGGCUUGAAUCCGGGAGAGGGAUGCGGAAUUCCAGGUGUAGCGGUGAAAUGCGCAGAUAUCAGGAGGAACACCGGUGGCGAAGGCGGGUCUCUGGGCCGAUACUGACGCUGAGGAGCGAAAGCGUGGGGAGCGAACAGG
rnacentral:rRNA from 1 species